rnacentral:rRNA from 1 species
GACGAACGCUGGCGGCGUGCUUAACACAUGCAAGUCGAGCGAGGCCUUUCCUUCGGGGGAGUGUUCUAGCGGCGAACGGGUGAGUAACACGUGGGCAACCUGCCCCCGGCUCUGGGAUAA